UCACAUGCUGGACCUGCUCAGGCCCCGGU
rnacentral:sRNA from 1 species